UUUGCAGGAUAAGUGUGUAUCAAUUAAAUGCUGUUGCUAUGCAUUUCUUGCUGAAAGUGUUUCCUGCUAUAUUAAUUUGUGGAAAGUGGGCAGUUGGGUUGAGCUUAUGAUCUCUUUCGCCAACAAUCAUUUUCCUCUCAUUA
rnacentral:snoRNA from 1 species